rnacentral:tRNA from 1 species
GGGGAUAUAACUCAGUUGGUAGAGUGCUUGCCUUGCAUGCACAAGGUCCUGGGUUCAAUCCCCAGCACCACCA